AGCAGUAGCCGCGGUAAUACGAAGGGUGCAAGCGUUAAUCGGAAUUACUGGGCGUAAAGCGUGCGUAGGCGGUUUGUUAAGUCUGCUGUGAAAUCCCCGGGCUCAACCUGGGAAUGGCAGUGGAUACAGGCAAGCUAGAGUGUGUCAGAGGAUGGUGGAAUUCCCGGUGUAGCGGUGAGAUGCGUAGAGAUCGGGAGGAACAUCAGUGGCGAAGGCGGCCAUCUGGGACAACACUGACGCUGAAGCACGAAAGCGUGGGGAGCAAACAGGAUUAGAUACCACAGUAGUCCCUGUCUCUUAUAC
rnacentral:rRNA from 1 species